rnacentral:rRNA from 1 species
GACGUAGGGCGCGAGCGUUGUCCGGAUUUAUUGGGCGUAAAGAGCUCGUAGGCGGCUCGUUGCGUCGGCUGUGAAAACCCGCAGCUCAACUGUGGGCUUGCAGCUGAUACGGGCGGGCUGGGAUUCGGUAGGGGAGACUGGAAUUCCUGGUGUAGCGGUGAAAUGCGCAGAUAUCAGGAGGAACACCGGUGGCGAAGGCGGGUCUCUGGGCCGAUAUCGACGCUGAGGAGCGAAAAGCGUGGGGAGCGAACAGG